UACGUAGGGGGCUAGCGUUGUCCGGAAUCAUUGGGCGUAAAGAGCGCGUAGGCGGCCAGAUAAGUCCGGUGUGAAAGUCACAGGCUCAACCUGUGAAUGCCGCUGGAAACUGUCUGGCUUGAGUCCGGAGGGGCGAGUGGAAUUCCUGGUGUAGCGGUGAAAUGCGCAGAUAUCAGGAGGAACACCAGUGGCGAAGGCGGACUCUGGGACCG
rnacentral:rRNA from 1 species